rnacentral:rRNA from 1 species
GCAAGUCGAACGCUAUCUUGUAUAGAGUGGCGCACGGGUGAGUAACGCGUGGGAACCUGCCUUUCUCUGCGGGACAACGGUUGGAAACGACCGCUAAUACCGCAUACGCCCUACGGGGGAAAGGUCAGCCGGAGAAAGAGGGGCCCGCGUUAGAUUAGCUAGUUGGUGGGGUAAUGGCCUACCAAGGCGACGAUCUAUAGCUGAUCUGAGAGGAUGAUCAGCCACACUGGGACUGAGACACGGCCCAGACUCCUACGGGAGGCAGCAGUGGGGAAUAUUGGACAAUGGGGGCAACCCUGAUCCAGCAAUGCCGCGUGUGUGAUGAAGGCCCUAGGGUUGUAAAGCACUUUCACUGGUGAAGAUGAUGACGGUAACCAGAGAAGAAGCCCCGGCUAACUUCGUGCCAGCAGCCGCGGUAAUACGAAGGGGGCGAGCGUUGUUCGGAAUUACUGGGCGUAAAGGGCGCGUAGGCGGCUCUUUAAGUUAGGCGUGAAAGCCCCGGGCUCAACCUGGGAACUGCGCUUAAGACUGGAGAGCUA